rnacentral:tRNA from 1 species
GGCCUGGUAGCUUAGAGGUUAAGCGCUUCACUGUCUAUGAAGAACAGGAGGGUUCGAGUCCCUUCCAGGUCGCCA